rnacentral:rRNA from 1 species
GGAAUAUUGCGCAAUGGGGGCAACCCUGACGCAGCAACGCCGCGUGCGGGACGAAGGCACUCGUGUCGUAAACCGCUUUCAGCAGGGAAGAUUAUGACGGUACCUGCAGAAGAAGCCCCGGCUAACUACGUGCCAGCAGCCGCGGUAACACGUAGGGGGCGAGCGUUAUCCGGAUUCAUUGGGCGUAAAGCGCGCGCAGGCGGCCGGCCAAGCGGGACCUCUAAUCCUGGGGCUCAACCUCAGGCCGGGUCCCGAACUGGCCGGCUCGCGUCAGGUAGGGGCAGGCGGAAUUCCCGGUGUAGCGGUGGAAUGCGCAGAUAUCGGGAGGAACACCGACGGCGAAGGCAGCCUGCUGGGCCUCGACGGACGCUGAGGCGCGAAAGCCGGGGGAGCGAACA